rnacentral:rRNA from 1 species
AUGUCCAACAGAUUCUAUAAAAAGGGCAAUGGAAGAACAAAUGAUCUCUGGUUUCUAAGACCUGCAGACCACAAAGCACACAAGUAUAGCCAGCAGCCAAGGACGGGGCAUCGUACAAGCGACAGUGGCUGCAACGAGGGCAAGAUGUCAAUCUUGGCGCUGGCACCGGAGACCGUGAGCACAACUGGGGGGCGAGGCGUCAACAACAGCUGCAUUGCCCGUGUUGGCCCCUUGAGUUUUGGACCUGCCGCGCUCCAGUUCUGGAAGCUGUCAUUCCCAUUCAUCCCCUCCAGUGGCCUUCAGGUUAUCUGA